UGACCGAGAGUGACACCUGGCUCACCCCGGUGCAAGUCCAGCUCAUGUCCUCUCCUCCCAGGUAGGAGGCCCACCCGGUGGAGAACCCUCCCCAGAACAACACGAGUGGAGAUGGAGAUGUGUCUAACAGGAGGUGGAACAAUGCUGGGCGGGCACCCCUGGACGAGUCACGGCUGGCCUGAGAAACGGCCCCCUGGACGCAGAAUGCAGCUCUUUGUGGAAGGAAGGAUAGAGGGAGACCAGCUGCACAGGCGCAGACGAGACGGCCUGGCCUCUGGGGUGCCCUCCAUGGGGACCGCUCACCACACGAGCGACUCCCCCCAUCGAGAGCGGCGGGAGCGGGCGCGGUACCCUUCCCAGCUCCGUCUGUGGUCUUGACACAGCACCAGCUACACAUCAUUUUUAAUUCAACCCAAAUCGCCCGUAUGGAGGAGCCGGGGAGCCCGGCCCGGACGAGGGAGUCAUCAGACAGGACACCCUCCACAUCGCGAGGACAAAGCCAUUUAAUGGCUUCCCUCGUCUGGGAGCGUUGCUUGUCCUGGCUGUUGAUCCUCGCGGUAACGAGGCCUGUGAUGGAGCGACUAGGAGGCUGAGCGUGGGUUUGGUGAGCACGCUCUCAGGCACCACUUGGCAGAGGGGCCCCAGCGGCCGUGGAGGAGAAGCACCGUCGCUGCCGGCUCCUGGCCUCUUCUGUUCCCUGGCUGCGUGAGGGACAAAGGUGCAGGGAGCCUGGGGCCUCCCUGGGGACACUGUCACCGGCAGAGCAGGCGGAGCCCCCCCACCCGCAGAUAUACAGGAGGGCCUGGCCCUGCCCCUGGGCCGAAGAAUCGGGAAGAGAAGAGCCAGGUGGCAGAGACGCUGGGCCGGCUCUUCGCACCCCAGUGUCUGGUGAGUGGAGGCAGGAGGGCCUUCUGUUUCUAGACACGGUGACGUCAGCUCAGGAAACAGAGUCACACGUCUUCCCCUCGUUUCUGGCGAACCAUCCAAUCGCGCACUGACUCCUCCUUGUGGAACAGACACCUGUGCCUUUUGCGUGCUCAGUGUCCAGUGCCCCUUCGCUGGGGGCAGCAGCCCCGCUUUCCUCUACAGAGUCACUCCAGCUUGAAAGGGCCGAGCUUUGGGUGGAGUCGACCCCAUGAUCUGCUUCCAGGGUGGGGCGUAUGGCCUGGGGCUGGCCAAUCAGGACAUUCCACCACCACCCCCAGCCCAGUGAUGAUUCAGGAGAGGGUAUGUGACCCAGCCGGGCAAGGUCAGACACAAUCCUAGGGUCUUUGCUGCAGUUUUUGAGAGAAAGCCUUCCAGGGGCAGCCUCAUGGAGACAGGAAGCAGUCCAAGAGGGGACAGAGCUGAGAGCUGGAGAGACAUUCCUGACAACAUGGUUUGAGCACCUGGAUCAAGCUAUGCCUGAAGCUUGAGCUGUCCUUGAAUUUUCAGUUACGUGAGCCCUUUGGGGCAGGACCCAGUCUGAACAGAGCUUCUGUCAGUUAUAAUUGAAAUGUGAUUCACUGCGACCACAGCAAGUCCAGCGCAUCUUGCCUGAGGCUUCCCCACCACCUGAAACCACAGUGGGUGGCGGGGUCAGCUCAAAGGAGCAAGCCCGGGUUCCGCGGCUGGACAGGCAGAAAGAGGUCCAAGUGGGAUCGACGCCUGGCACCAUCACCUCUCUAGGGCCGCAUGGUGGUGCGUUGAACACUGGUCCUGCACAGCCCCGCGCACACUUGUCAGCUGCAGGUCCGGAGCCACGAAGAGACUCUGACAGUGGCCCUCAUGUGGGCUACACGUGUGGUCCUUCACUCACACUCAGGCCCGGCCAGUUGGCCCCAAGCCGUGGUGCCGUGCUGGUUUGGUAGAAACCUAGGGAGAUUCCCGCUUCGGUCGCCCGUGUGCAGGAAAGGGACCUGCCUGUCUGCCGAGCCCCAGGUCCCACCUCGCUCUCCCACCCGAGCCUUCCUGGGAGCUCUGCCUCACGGACUCAGGGUUGCAUCAGUUAUUUGUUGCUGAUAGUAACCACGUAACGGCUUAACAACAGCAAUCUUUAUUUUGUUCACAAAUUACAUUUGGGCACAGAUUGUGGGGAGGAGUCGUCUCUGCUCCCAGAGUCCCCAGGGCAGCUUGACCAGGAGCCGGGCAGGCACCUCCAGGCGGCUCACACAGGGCUGGCCAGUUGGUGCCGGCGGAGGCCGGGCUCACUCAGGGGCCUCGGUCUGUCCCCGCUCGGCCUCUCCAGGGGCUUCUUGGGCUCCUCGCAGUUGGAGGUUGGGCUCUGAGGACAAGCACCUUGGAGAGAAGUGUCACCUAGUGACCUAGUCCCAGAUGUCACAUGACCUUGCUUCCACCAUCAACAGAAACCUAAGAGGAUUCCAAGGGAGGGGACGGGGACCCCACCUCCCAAGGAGGGGCUGUGAAAGCCACGUCUUAGAAGAGCAUGGAGAACAGGAGUGCUGCGGGCUGAACUGUGUCCCCAAAAAGACAUGCUGGCGUCCUACCCUCUGUACCUCAGACGUGACUUUAUUGGAGACGGGCCUGUGCAGACGAUCAAGUUAAGAUGAGAUCCCUAUGGGGGGCCCCAAUCUAACGUGAUGGCGUCCUCACAAGAAGAGGACGCAGACACGCCGAGGGACGACCACCGGAGGAGACGGCGUCCACACGCCAAGGAGAGAGGCCUCAGAGGAGCCAGCCGCCACCUGAGGCCGCAGUGGGGGUGGGACCGGUUCAAAGGGGCGACCCGGGUUCCACCCCUGGACCCGCAGAGAGCUUGCUUUGAUCGUGGACUUCUGGCCUCCAAACCCGAGAGACAAUGAAUUUCUGCGGCUUAAGCAGCUGGGUCUGUGGUGCUUUGUUGCGGCAGCUGCAGAAACUGAUGCACAAGAGCCUGUCACAGUGUCUCUGCCACGGAGUGUCCACUAACCUCGAAUCUCGGAGGACAGGAGGGGCAGAAGCAGGAGAGACCACUACACACAAAGCCAGGCUCGGCCCUGGGGGCGGGGUCCAGGGGGCAGGACUGCGGGUUGGGGGGACAGAACCAACACCACAGUGAAGGGCAGACCCCGCCCAGCUCCCCCGCCUGUGUCGAGCACGACGCUUGUGCUUUCCCGUGCUUUCUCUAAAUCUUUUCAUUCAAAUUUAAGACAAAUUAACUUUGCAAUUGUCGACAAAAAUAAUCUAGAACCAAGCUAUCAAUGAAAAUUUGGGUGAGUUUAUUCUAAGCUAAAAUGUGAGGACCAUGGCCUGGGGCCUUUGUUCCAGAAGGAAGAAAGGGCAUCAAAGAAGUGGGGUGCACAGAGUGGUUCUAGACCCCCAGAGAGGACGUUUCACAUAGGAUUGAAAAGUCCCUUUGACAAUAGCCAAGAGACUGCUCUGUCGGCACAGCGAUCGACGGACACAGCUGGUGGGUCUGCCAUCUCGGUGGACACAGCAGGGUGGCAGGUCUGUUGUCUUGGCCUGGAUGGUCACAGGUGAGCUGGGUGGUCACAGGUGAGCGCAGCCAUCAGUUCCUAGCCUAACGAAAGAUGCUUCUCCUUAAGGAAAGGCCAAUGUGCAGGGAAGUUGCACCUUUCUCUUAAGGCCAUUUGUUUUUGCCUUAACGGAUCUACGAUGCGUGCUCAACGGCCACGUCAGGCCCUUUUGGAAAAACACUGUCAGGCCAAAUUAGGUUUACACCAAAUGGCCUCCUCAUAGACUCCAAUAGAUCCUAUUGCUCGCCAUUUCUAUUCGUCACAAUUUGCUAAAAAGUUUCCAUGUCUGAAAAACGGGCUCAGCAGGGACUGUGGCCCGUCACCCACGCCUGCCCACACCCCUCCUGCUUGGAUGCUGGCUCCGGGCAUCUCUCGCCGCUGCCCCCAAGGUGGUCCUGUCCCACUCUCCACCCCCACCCCGCCCCCCGGCCCUGGGAGCCCACAGAUUUACAUUCUCUCUCAGCCAGAGGUGCCUAAGAGACUGCCCCCAGCACGAGGAUGGCUGCUCCCAGGUGACCCGUUCGGUCCACCUGCACAGGCGGAGUUUCUCUCACUGCGAAGGGGACGGUCCGCUCGGGCAGACAUCCUGUCACAUGCUGUGCAGAUGGAGGCAGCCGCUGCGACAGGGAGGACAGAGGCUCGGCCAGGCGGCCUGGGGGCGGGUCCAGCAGGGCCGCAAAGUCCAGACCCGGGACACCCCUGGAGGCGGGUGUCACGGGAUGGAGCUCCACCCCCCACCCCAACCUGCCAAUGUCCCACAGGCUCACCACGCACCCUGCAGAGUAGACUCUUCGGGAGUCCGGGCGCUCCCUGCAGUGAGACGGGCGCCAGCCUCACACGCUGCUGCAACCUGCAUGGUGAGCGCGUGGUUCUCUCCCUCCUCCAGCUGGGGCGACACCACCGGACUAGCGCCAGGGUCACAGACAGCACGGCUGACGCGCUCCGGGUGCCCCAUUUCCGCACCAGCCCUGCCCGGCCCCGGACGCAGGACCGGCAGGUUGGAGCCACGGGAAAGAAGAAAACGCAUCCGAAGCAUUUCUGUUCCCGCCUCUGCGAGGGAGAACAGGCUGUGCCGGCUGCUCUGUAUUCAGAGGGCGGCUCCCUCCCUGUGGGCUGGGUUUCUGUUAGACACAGUGGAACAUAAUCCAGAAUGAUGUGUGCCACCUUUAGGACCAGCCCCCUCAGGUCUGCUCACCACAGCACUAGGGCAGAUGACCCUGCGCUCACGUCCUGACCUCCACAUCCCAGCCCUUGGCCAGUGGUCUGGUCAGUGUCAGGGAGCCCCAAUGCCUCAGGCUCCUGACCAAGCAAUAAGUGCCAAGUGAUCAGGACUCAACAGAAGAGAAAGACUGGCUUUCUACGGCGGGAGUUCUCCAGAGAGCUGGGCGCCAAGGAGCAUUGGAGCUGGCCCUCAGGACAGGGCUCAGCCAGGAUGGAACCCAGGAAGCCGGUCAUUCCAGCUUGACCUGGAAACUGUCCUGCUCUCAGCCUGGGGUGGGCGGAGCCAAAGUGCCAGGCUACCGCCUCCGGUCACCUGCGAAGGCUGUGGCAGGAUGGGGGGCACAGAGCCAGGGGUAGGUCUGUGUCUGAGAGCCACACGGAUGCUGGUGGCCCAGGUACCGCAGGGCAUGUCCUUGUCUUGGGCAAUGCAGUGAAGAGAGACGCUUCCGUGGGCACCGAAUCUGUACGAACAGAGCCAGCAGAUGGGCAUCCAGACCCACUUCCUCUUAAUUUGCUUAAUUUAAACAAAAAGGAACUUUUGCAUCUUCUCUGCACAUUUGUGCAUCUCAGCCCCCCUGCUGGGCCCAGCAGCCAGCAGCGUCACGAGUUCUCAGCACAGCCUCCUCGCUUUCUCGCAGAUGAAAUCUCUUAUUUCAGAGCUGCUCACAGGGGGCCUUGACUUUGAGGCUCUGACGCCGGCUCUGCAGAGACGGCUUCAAGAAGCUGGACCCACUGUGAACAGGGCUCGGAGUGUGCCCCCUGCGGUGGGGGUGGGCCUGCUGUGUCCUCCCUGCAGCGAAUGGAGGGGGCCAUCCAAGGCCAUUCGCACGUGGGCUCAGGAUCGCCCUUCCUCACCGCGGGAGGGCUGGGCCUCCUGCCGGCGGUGAGGAGAGGCGUCCCGGGCAGCAGUCCAUGGCCCAGGGCAGCACAGAUGCGGGCAGAAGCACCAGCCGCCACGGGCCGGCCGGGCGUGGGGCUGGGCUCGGGAGCCAGGGCUCUGCUGCCAGCUCCACCGUCAGCUGGUCAUGCGACCCUGGGCAGCUGGCUUCUCUUCCCUGAAGUUCAGCUUCUCAUAUUAAAGUGAUACAGAUGCCAGUCAGGGCUUGUCCAGUCGCUGUCAACGGCAGACGCCCCAACUGAAAGUGGCUUAAAGCAGAGUGAGGCACGUACCUGCCUGUGCGGCCAAAAGUCUCAGGGGCUGCCAUGAGCUUCAGGCACACCUUGAUCCAGACGCUCCACCGAUGUCAUGGAGACCCAGCCUCUCCUGGCUCUGAUCCCACUGAAUUGGCCCCACUUCCAGGCCAGCUCUUCCCUCCUGGUGACAAGAUGCCACCAGCAGAGUGUCCAAGCACUUGGGACACGAGAAGCCCCUUUCCCAUCACUGUGGGGGGAGCCCUGGCAACGUGGCUUGGAUCACAGGGCCUUCCCUGGACCAAUCGGAUGGGCAGAGGAGGGUGGCACUCGGAUUGGCCAGGCCUGGUCACACGCUCGCUGUGGGUUCAGGGGUGAUGUCACCAGACUGGAAGAGGGAGAGCGGGGGCUCCUCGCAGGAACCCAGGGUGCUGUUACCCAAGGGGGCGGUGCUGGGCAUUGAUCGCGUCACUCCCAACACUUCAUGACUCGAUCGGCCACGAGGCCCCUGAAGCUUGAAGACCAGCUGCCAGCAGGGCUGCUCGGGGAGUGAAGCUGGUCCGGGCAGCCCUGCAGGCUCUCGGAUCCCUGCAUGGUGACCCCCAGGGGAGCGGGGGAAGGACCACAGGCCCGCAGACCUCGGGAGCCUUGAAAACGUUGGGCCAUAAACCCAAAUGUGCCAGGCAGGUAAAGGAAGCCCCAGGGGACAGGGGUCAUGGCUCGUGCUGUUUGCCGGCCCUGGAGCGGAGCCUGAACUCAGCAGGUGCUCAGUGAGCAGCUGUCGGGAGGAUGCGCCAGUGAGCAGUGCGAGCAGAGCAAGGAGCCAGCGCAGGCCUCGUGAGCGUCCGCCGAAUCCCAGACUGGUGGCAGGGACAACAUGGGGUGGUGGGGACGCGGCAAAGUGGAGAGGUCACACCCCACGGAAGGCAGCAGCUGCCACUUAGCUCCAGCCAGCUCUCACCAGACAAACUGAACGUUGCCAGAACCCCUGGUUUUUGGAGAAAACCAGAAACCUGUUUUUUAUGAAAAGUUUCUUAACUUUUAAAUAUUUGCUACUAACAUACCAUGGAGACAGAAAACGGAAACAUGUCCAGUGGCCCAGAUUCGACUUGUGACGGCCGUUUUGUAACCUCUGAUCUGGUCCAACCUCUGUUUUCCGGGCAAAUCAAAUGACAGCCAGCCCAGCGGGAGCCGCCCAAGCACGGCCCUGCUGGCGUCUCGCGGGAGAGGCCAGAGCUCGGGGUUCCGGCCCAAAACCUGGAGCCCAGGAGUAGUUCCGACGGAAGAGGGAACGUGGGAGUGAAUGUACAGGGUCUCCAGGAACAAGCGGGUGCUGCCUGAGACCCCCACGGGUCCCCUUCCUUUGUGGGGGCCUUCUUCCUUCUCAUCCUGUCCGAGCCGUUCCUGGAAACAGCAAAGGAUGGAGAUCUCACCAACUCAUCUGCCAAGGCCACGUCCCCUUGAGAGAAAAGUGCAAGGUGCUGAUGACUCGCAGUUUCUUAGAGAGCAGCUGGACCCCGGGCUGAGCGUGAAAGUCACGCACAACGGGCCCCCUGCCCCUGGACCCAUCGGAACGCUCUCAGCCGUAACGGAAACCCAACCAAAAGGCAGCCGAAAUAGCAAGGGAGCCCUCCUCUCCCACCAAGGACGGCAACAGCAGCCGGCCAGGGAGUGUAGGCGAUUUCCCAGCAGCUCCUGGCAGACUCUCCCUGAGCCCACUGGCAGGGCGGCCUGCGGCUCCGGGCUCUCCCCUCGCUGGCACGGCCCACUGAAUUGCACGAGAGGCUGAGAACCACCCAGGGGCAGUGCUGGGGCCGCCACCUCCCCAAGCGAGCACAGUGCUUCCCAAGGCCGGAGCAGAACUGGGGCCCGUAGCCAGGGAGAAGGUUGCCUGGCAACCGACAGUGUCGGCUGCCUUCCCACCACCUGCUGCCUGCCUGGCUGGACGCUGCCUCGAGGAUGGAGGCCAGGCCAGGGCAGCCAGGUGGGCAGGGCCGCCCCGCUUGUCGACUCCUGUCUGCCCAGGGGUGUGUCGAGGUGGAGGAAGAGAGGGCUUCUGCUGGGUAAGUACGUGCUGGACGACACUGCACACGCACACACAGCUCAUGCUUGCACAUCACACAGGCACACGUGCACA